rnacentral:lncRNA from 1 species
CACAGUCCUCAGGGAACCACGCCCCUGACCCAGUGCUCGUCUGGGGAGCCUGAUUUUCUGUCUCCCUGCCUACCCCUCAAGACUUCCCUGACAUGUCUCCUGUGGGCCCAGAGGGUCCCCGGGGUCUGCAUUACACUCUUUCCUGGGGAGCCCCCAGCUGGGGCCGGGCCACUGCUCAGACUUCAGAAGCAACCACGUCGGCCCCUCCGUGCCACCUCCAAGCUGUAGGGCGGAGGUCUGUUUAUUUUGGGUUUGAUGAGUAAAUCAUGUGGAACAAAAUCAAAAGCUCGGCUGAAGUCAACACAGAUGACAUCUGUCACUUCCCCUAAUCCCUCAGGCAGGGGGAGAGGGGUUUGGAUUAAUUAGGCUCUUUAAAACAUUUGCCAGCAAUGACUCAAUGCCUUCUUUUAAUGUCUAGCGAGUGAAAAUAACACAUUCGCCCUAGUUUUCACGUUUGAAGGGUCAGGUUUGGAGGUCCAGUGUCCGCUGUAAUCCUGUCUCUUUGAAAAGGCACAGGUACCAUAGCCACUAAUACUGAGUAUGCCUAUCAUUGAAAUCAAAUGUUCUUGUAUCUUAUGAAAUGUCAGCUGCCAUAUAUGGAGGCAGUCACAGACAUCAGCUAAGUGACACUGUCUGGGCUAAGCUUUGCCUAAUUGACGAGGGAGGCGUGCAUUUGGGGUGAGAGCCUCUGGGGAGCAGGGGUGAAUCCAGGGUAAUUAAAUGGCACACUGCUCUCUGUUUAUCCGCUUAAACACGGCUGGGCUUGGGAGGAUGUGCUGGGCACUCUUGUCUCGAGCUGCCCGUGU